UACGUAGGUGACAAGCGUUGUCCGGAUUUACUGGGCGUAAAGAGCGCGCAGGCGGUCGUUCAAGUCGAGUGUGAAAGCCCCCGGCUCAACUGGGGAGGGUCAUUCGAUACUGAUCGACUCGAAGGCAGGAGAGGGAAGUGGAAUUCCCGGUGUAGUGGUGAAAUGCGUAGAUAUCGGGAGGAACACCAGUGGCGAAGGCGGCAUCCUGGACCAUGACUGACGCUGAGGAGCGAAAGCGUGGGAGCAACAGG
rnacentral:rRNA from 1 species